AAGAAACACAAUUUCCAGACAACUUUCAAGGUUCUUGUAAUUGGUUUGCCUAUAUAAAUAGCCCCGGGUUUUCUUGUGCAUCAUAUUUGAAUGCACGCCGAAGCAUUAAGAGGGAAGCAGAGACUUGUUCAACUAAGUAAUUUGAAAAUUCAAAUUGGUAAAAGAGAGGAAAGACAGAGAGAGAGAAAUGAGUGUUUUAUCAGUGUUUGAUCUGCGAGAAAAGGUGGUAGGGAAGAGAGGGGCACCAGCAGUAUGCCCUUACUGUGGAGGGCCAGUUUUGGCGUGGGACUUUGAUGCACACUUGCUCUUUUGUUUCAUUUCCAUUUCCCACAAAACCAAGAGGAAGUUUUACUGCACCAUUUGCUCCAGGCGCCUAGUUCCUGCUUCUUGAUUGAUUGCGUUGGGUCCUCAUAUUUCUACAAAAUAUGGUAAAAUAAGUCACUUGAGAUACAAGUGCCAGCAUUGUUGUAUGACCUUAUAUUUCCCCCUUAUGGUUUAAGCCUCUAUGGCCUCAAAGGAGGAGUGUAACACUAUAAAACCCUUGUACUAAAACCCCAAAACAAAAACAGAGAGAGAGUCGGUUUAUUUGAUUUUUUGCCUUUUUGUGUUCAUUUUGCUUAGUUCACCCACCUUUCAUUUCCAAAAAAAUUCAGCUGAUGGUAAUGUGCACCAUCGAUUAAGGGUGGUGAGCAAAAAUACUCCCCUUAAAUAAAAUGGUUAAAAAGCUCAAACACAUCAAGGAAAGAAAGAAGAAAGCAAGGGAAAUUGACGUCGGUGCAAAGCAACAAGAAAUACUUGAUUGGAGCCUCCUCUGUCAGCGCCAUGAAGUAUUGCAUUCCUCCUCUUCUUUGACAAGUUAAUAAGCUGGAAGUUUCAUUUCACAAGUUAACUUUGACAGACGCGUUGAGACCAACAACUGGACUUGUUUUUUUAAAAGACUAAAAUAAGCCUAGGCUAAUCUUAUUAACUAAUCCCCACUAGGCUGGCUAACCGAACAAAAAAAAACCCAACACUCUUAUCGAUCGGCUGCACCAGUUCCAAGGCUACUUCUUCUCAACUCCACAAAGGUCUUUUUCCUCCACCUUUGUAUUGGGCUAUUGUUUUUCGGGGAAUUCUACUAACAAUUAUGCCAAUUUGGAAAAUGAAUAUUUUGAAUAUAUAUUAUUUAAAAUAUAUGUUAUUUUAAUAGUGAUAUUGGAUACGGGGUUUUUG
rnacentral:lncRNA from 1 species